rnacentral:rRNA from 1 species
GACAGAGGGGGCAAGCGUUGCUCGGAAUUACUGGGCGUAAAGGGCGCGUAGGCGGAAUGGCAAGUCGGUCGUGAAAUCCUUCGGCUCAACCGAAGAACGUCGAUCGAAACUGCCGUUCUUGAGGAUUGCAGAGGAGACUGGAAUUCCCGGUGUAGCGGUGAAAUGUGUAGAGAUCGGGAGGAACACCGGUGGCGAAGGCGGGUCUCUGGGCAAUUCCUGACGCUGAGGCGCGAAAGCGUGGGGAGCGAACAGG